rnacentral:rRNA from 1 species
CCUACGGGUGGCAGCAGUGAGGAAUAUUGGUCAAUGGGCGCGAGCCUGAACCAGCCAAGUAGCGUGAAGGAUGACUGCCCUACGGGUUGUAAACUUCUUUUAUCAAGGAAUAAAGUGAGGCACGUGUGCCUUUUUGUAUGUACUUUAUGAAUAAGGAUCGGCUAACUCCGUGCCAGCAGCCGCGGUAAUACGGAGGAUCCGAGCGUUAUCCGGAUUUAUUGGGUUUAAAGGGGGCGUAGUUGGGUUGUUAAGUCAGUUGUGAAAGUUUGGGGCUCAACCCGAAAAUUGCAAUUGAUACUGGCAGUCUUGAGAAGAGGAGAGGUAGGCGGAAUGCGUGGUGUAGCGGUGAAAUGCUUAGAUAUCACGAAGAACUCCGAUUGCGAAGGCAGCUUACUAGAC